rnacentral:rRNA from 1 species
CCUUGGGGCAGCUUACACAUGCAGUCGACGAUGAUCAGGAGCUUGCUCCUGUGAUUAGUGGCGAACGGGUGAGUAACACGUGAGUAACCUGCCCCUGACUCUGGGAUAAGCGUUGGAAACGACGUCUAAUACUGGAUAUGAUCACUGGCCGCAUGGUCUGGUGGUGGAAAGAUUUUUUGGUUGGGGAUGGACUCGCGGCCUAUCAGCUUGUUGGUGAGGUAAUGGCUCACCAAGGCGACGACGGGUAGCCGGCCUGAGAGGGUGACCGGCCACACUGGGACUGAGACACGGCCCAGACUCCUACGGGAGGCAGCAGUGGGGAAUAUUGCACAAUGGGCGAAAGCCUGAUGCAGCAACGCCGCGUGAGGGAUGACGGCCUUCGGGUUGUAAACCUCUUUUAGUAGGGAAGAAGCGAAAGUGACGGUACCUGCAGAAAAAGCACCGGCUAACUACGUGCCAGCAGCCGCGGUAAUACGUAGGGUGCAAGCGUUGUCCGGAAUUAUUGGGCGUAAAGAGCUCGUAGGCGGUUUGUCGCGUCUGCUGUGAAAUCCCGAGGCUCAACCUCGGGCUUGCAGUGGGUACGGGCAGACUAGAGUGCGGUAGGGGAGAUUGGAAUUCCUGGUGUAGCGGUGGAAUGCGCAGAUAUCAGGAGGAACACCGAUGGCGAAGGCAGAUCUCUGGGCCGUAACUGACGCUGAGGAGCGAAAGCGUGGGGAGCGAACAGGAUUAGAUACCCUGGUAGUCCACGCCGUAAACGUUGGGCGCUAGAUGUAGGGACCUUUCCACGGUUUCUGUGUCGUAGCUAACGCAUUAAGCGCCCCGCCUGGGGAGUACGGCCGCAAGGCUAAAACUCAAAGGAAUUGACGGGGGCCCGCACAAGCGGCGGAGCAUGCGGAUUAAUUCGAUGCAACGCGAAGAACCUUACCAAGGCUUGACAUACACCGGAAACGGCCAGAGAUGGUCGCCCCCUUGUGGUCGGUGUACAGGUGGUGCAUGGUUGUCGUCAGCUCGUGUCGUGAGAUGUUGGGUUAAGUCCCGCAACGAGCGCAACCCUCGUUCUAUGUUGCCAGCGCGUUAUGGCGGGGACUCAUAGGAGACUGCCGGGGUCAACUCGGAGGAAGGUGGGGAUGACGUCAAAUCAUCAUGCCCCUUAUGUCUUGGGCUUCACGCUGCUACAAUGGCCGGUACAAAGGGCUGCGAUACCGUAAGGUGGAGCGAAUCCCAAAAAGCCGGUCUCAGUUCGGAUUGAGGUCUGCAACUCGACCUCAUGAAGUCGGAGUCGCUAGUAAUCGCAGAUCAGCAACGCUGCGGUGAAUACGUUCCCGGGCCUUGUACACACCGCCCGUCAAGUCAUGAAAGUCGGUAACACCCGAAGCCGGUGGCCUAACCCUUGUGGAAGAGCCGUCGAAGUGAAUUUAGUG